AUUGAACGCUGGCGGCAGGCCUAACACAUGCAAGUCGAGCGAGCGGCGGACGGGUGAGUAAUGUCUGGGAAACUGCCUGCUGGAGGGGGAUAACUACUGGAAACGGUAGCUAAUACCGCAUACCAUCAGAUGUGCCCAGAUGGGAUUAGCUAGUGGGUGGGGUAACGGCUCACCAAGGCGACGAUCCCUAGCUGGUCUGAGAGGAUGACCAGCCACACGGGAACUGAGACACGGUCCAGACUCCUACGGGAGGCAGCAGUGGGGAAUAUUGCACAAUGGGCGCAAGCCUGAUGCAGCCAUGCCGCGUGUAUGAAGAAGGCCUUCGGGUUGUAAAGUACUUUCAGCGGGGAGGCGUUACUCGCAGAAGAAGCACCGGCUAACUACGUGCCAGCAGCCGCGGUAAUAC
rnacentral:rRNA from 1 species